UACGUGGGGGGCAAGCGUUGUUCGGAAUUACUGGGCGUAAAGGGCUCGUAGGCGGCCAACUAAGUCAGACGUGAAAUCCCUCGGCUUAACCGGGGAACUGCGUCUGAUACUGGAUGGCUUGAGUUUGGGAGAGGGAUGCGGAAUUCCAGGUGUAGCGGUGAAAUUCGUAGAUAUUGGGAAGAACACCGGUGGCGAAGGCGGCCAUCUGGACCGCAACUGACGCUGAGGCGCGAAAGCGUGGGGAGCAAACAGG
rnacentral:rRNA from 1 species